rnacentral:rRNA from 1 species
AGUGAACGCUGGCGGUAGACCUAACACAUGCAAGUCGAACGGCAGCACAGUAAGAGCUUGCUCUUACGGGUGGCGAGUGGCGGACGGGUGAGGAAUACAUCGGAAUCUACUUUUUCGUGGGGGAUAACGUAGGGAAACUUACGCUAAUACCGCAUACGACGUACGGGUGAAAGCAGGGGAUCUUCGGACCUUGCGCGAUUGAAUGAGCCGAUGUCGGAUUAGCUAGUUGGCGGGGUAAAGGCCCACCAAGGCGACGAUCCGUAGCUGGUCUGAGAGGAUGAUCAGCCACACUGGAACUGAGACACGGUCCAGACUCCUACGGGAGGCAGCAGUGGGGAAUAUUGGACAAUGGGAGCAAGCCUGAUCCAGCCAUACCGCGUGGGUGAAGAAGGCCUUCGGGUUGUAAAGCCCUUUUGUUGGGAAAGAAAAGCAGCAGGUUAAUACCCCGCUGUUCUGACGGUACCCAAAGAAUAAGCACCGGCUAACUUCGUG